ACACGCAUGACACACUGCAUAUCAAUAAGCGGAGGAAAAGAAACUAACAAGGAUUCCCUUAGUAACGGCGAGUGAAGCGGGAAGAGCUCAAAUUUGAAAUCUUCAAGGUUUUACCUUGGCGAAUUGUAGUUUAAAGAAGUGUUUUCUGUUGAAGUUUUGGUAAAAGUUCUUUGGAAUAGGACAUCAUAGAGGGUGAGAAUCCCGUAUUUGACCAUUAUUUUCAGCUGUGUGAUACACUUUCAAAGAGUCGGAUUGUUUGGGAAUGCAGUCCAAAAUGGGUGGUAAAUUUCAUCUAAAGCUAAAUAUUGGCGAGAGACCGAUAGCGAACAAGUACCGUGAGGGAAAGAUGAAAAGAACUUUGAAAAGAGAGUUAAACAGUACGUGAAAUUGUCAAAAGGGAAGCGUUUGACACCAGUGUUGUUUUCUCGAAAAUCAAUUAAAAAAGGCCGGAUUUUGUGUUGUAUUGACCUUAAAAGCUUUCUUCACUCUUUUCUUGUCUUUUUUAAUGCACUUUUCGUUUAACAAGUCAACAUCAGUUUCUUUUGUUGUAAAAGGGUCAUUGGAAGGUGGCUUUCUUUUCGGAGAAAGUGUUUAUAGCCUUGUAUCCUCUGCAAUCGGAGAGAUUGAGGUCUGCAGCGUAGAUCCUUCGGGGUUAAAUACAUUUGUGCUAAGUUAUAGCUUUUCAUAGACAACUUGUUGACUAUAUUUAGUCUUGUAGGCUUACUCGCUUAUGCUAUUUUACCUACGCUUAGGAUGUUGACUGAUAUGUAGUCGUA
rnacentral:rRNA from 1 species